rnacentral:rRNA from 1 species
AUGGAGAGUUUGAUCCUGGCUCAGGAUGAACGCUGGCGGCGUGCCUAAUACAUGCAAGUCGAGCGAACAGACGAGGAGCUUGCUCCUUUGACGUUAGCGGCGGACGGGUGAGUAACACGUGGGUAACCUACCUAUAAGACUGGGAUAACUUCGGGAAACCGGAGCUAAUACCGGAUAAUAUUUCGAACCGCAUGGUUCGAUAGUGAAAGAUGGCUCUGCUAUCACUUAUAGAUGGACCUGCGCCGUAUUAGCUAGUUGGUAAGGUAACGGCUUACCAAGGCAACGAUACGUAGCCGACCUGAGAGGGUGAUCGGCCACACUGGAACUGAGACACGGCCCAGACUCCUACGGGAGGCAGCAGUGGGGAAUCUUGGACAAUGGGCGCAAGCCUGAUCCAGCCAUUCCGCGUGGAUGAUGAAGGCCCUAGGGUUGUAAAAUCCUUUCGGCAGGGAAGAUAAUGACGGUACCUGCUAAAGAAGCCCCGGCUAACUCCGUGCCAGCAGCCGCGGUAAUACGGAGGGGGCUAGCGUUGUUCGGAAUUACUGGGCGUAAAGCGCACGUAGGCGGAUCA